rnacentral:lncRNA from 1 species
CCCAGCCCUACAGAGGUCCUGCUGGUUCCCUUGGUCUCACCCCAUGAGGCAGUACCAAGUCUCUACGGUGGGAAGUUAUGGAGUGAAAGGCUCCAUCCACUGCUUAAGUGUAGACAGCACCGUCCUGCUGCUUUCCGCAGGUUGGCCUGAGCUGCUGCUGCUGCUGCACCACGGAGCCGCAUGGCUGUGGAAGCCCACGUGCAACAGAGCGGGGACCUGCAGCAGCACGGAGCCGCGAGCGGUGCCCCGUGCGCCUUCCCUGCUCGGUAUUUGCAGCCCUAUUUGCGAGCCAGACUGGGGUCGACCCAGCAUCCCGUGGCCGACGGCCUUGGAUGCGUUUUGCAAUCGCCUCCGCUUUGCACCAACUUGAGGAAAACCGGGAAAAGGCACUGAUAAUUAAUCUGGAUGGAGUCAGCCAGGCGCCCUGAAACCUCGGCGCAGCCUGUCUCCAAGUGCAGCACUCAAGACUUGAGGCAGUGGGCUCAGGACACGACCAAUAUCCCCUGUGACAACACCAUCAGGAUGUGUUUCCUGGCUUGACCAUGUGUGAGCCCCACAGCCUCUCGCAGGGGAGAGAAGAGUUGAGAAGAGCAGAACAGUGCUGUCCCAGGACAGAGGACUGCCAGCACACCUGCCCUGGAGAAUGAAUUUAGGGCUUUUUCCUUGCAAAGGCUGUGGUGCAUCUCCUUGAUACAGUGAAUCCAUACUGAUGAAUGGGUGUCCGGAGCCCUUUCCCAGCCAGCCUGUGAAAAUUCCUGGACAACAUCAUGCUGUGAAGCUCCAGGUCUUUGCUGUCACAGGUCGGAGGAAUGCCAAGGUAUGAGGGAUGAGCUCUCACCAGACCCAAGCCAGCUUGAUCAGGCUCUGCUGGGGCCAGGCUCCUUGCUGACAACAGGAGGAUCUGGACCAGGGACCGUCUUUCAGAGGAGGCGAAUCCUUAACUUGAACUGCUUCCACGGCCACGUCUGGCAGGCAUCAGGGGACCAGCCGCAGCCGCCCCCAGAAGCAGCAUGAGCCCCGGAGCCAGGCACAGCCCUCCCACGUCUCCUUUGUGCCUCAAGACGCCCGGCCCCGCACCCACCCCCCAAGGGCUGCUUUCCCUGUUGAUAAUCCAUUAUCUACAUUUAAUGCCUCGCUGACGUCCUUCCCUUUGUCUGAUGGUGAAACCUCGACCAGAUGUGAAGCUUCUUAUGUUACUAAUGGCAAAUCCUUUUGCAAUAGCUGGUUGGAAAAUGGGGAAACUGUUUUCAUGAAGUGAAAAUUGAAACAUUGGAGUAAUUUUCAUUCUGCAAGCCUCACAAAGGAGUGGUUUUUAUUUGAGGUCAUUUCUAUUUUUUUUUUCCAGAAAAAAAGCUGUAGCUCAGAAGAUGAGUUUGUGGUAGCGCUCUCACCACUGAACAUUUCUGCUGUCCCAGUGCAGUUCCUAUUACUCUCGUGUUCCACUUCUGAAAAAAAAUGAAGUGGGGGAAGGGAGGUGGCACAGCCCAGGUCUGCAGGCUGCCUGAUGCCUUGCUGGGGCAGCUUAAGGCUUGGGAUACAGCCUGCCCUGGGCAGAGCCAUGAUAGCUGGAGCAGCGAGUCCUUGCCCUGCUGACAACUUAAAGAGGGUCAGCCACAACCCCCCUAUAAAGCAGAGGUGGUAAGGUGUGGCUGAGGAUGGCUCAAUCGUUUGCUGCCUCUCUGAGCAGUGUCCCCAGUAAGCUAUGCAGUGGGAGCGCCUGGGUGAAGAGCAGAAAGCACCCCUUGGUGCAGCGCGUGUUGGUGGGAGAGCAGACAGGCAGCAGUACCCAAACAAAGCCCUCGAGGGUUUGCAGAUGGAGCCAUGGUGCUGCAGGCUAGGAUCUAAACUGAGACCCCCAGGCUACGGGCAUGCAGCUAACACAGCAUGCAGCCCCUUUCUGGAGAGCGACAGCACUAGCAGGGC